UAGAGUUUGAUCCUGGCUCAGAUUGAACGCUGGCGGCAGGCCUAACACAUGCAAGUCGAGCGGAAACGAGUUAUCUGAACCUUCGGGGAACGAUAACGGCGUCGAGCGGCGGACGGGUGAGUAAUGCCUAGGAAAUUGCCUUGAUGUGGGGGAUAACCAUUGGAAACGAUGGCUAAUACCGCAUAAUGCCUACGGGCCAAAGAGGGGGACCUUCGGGCCUCUCGCGUCAAGAUAUGCCUAGGUGGGAUUAGCUAGUUGGUGAGGUAAUGGCUCACCAAGGCGACGAUCCCUAGCUGGUCUGAGAGGAUGAUCAGCCACACUGGAACUGAGACACGGUCCAGACUCCUACGGGAGGCAGCAGUGGGGAAUAUUGCACAAUGGGCGCAAGCCUGAUGCAGCCAUGCCGCGUGUAUGAAGAAGGCCUUCGGGUUGUAAAGUACUUUCAGCAGUGAGGAAGGGGGUGUCGUUA
rnacentral:rRNA from 1 species